rnacentral:lncRNA from 1 species
AAAAAAGAAUCUUUUAAAUACAAUAGAAAAGAUUAAAACUUUUUAUCAAUAAUAUCCAUUAAAAUCAAGAUAAAGAGUCAAGCAAUUUUCUAUUAUUAAAAGAAAGAUGCUCAAUGAAAAUUAUAUCCUAUCUUUAAUCUUUCAUUAUAAUUUUUUUUAUAUUAGUAAUGCUAAUAAGCUAAAGAAUCUACAAUUGGUAGAUUCAACUUAAGAGCUAUUUUUUGCUAACUUAUUGGAUAAGAUAUUGUGAUUGUCAUAACUUUUAAGAUGACAUAACUAAGAUAAAGACCUUCAAGAAUGACAUAUUCUUUAUUGAAUAGAUGGCAAGAUACAAUGCAUUUGAUAUCAUGACCUUAAAAGAUACUCUCAAUGUUUGAUGAUUUUAUUAGAGGUAAAAAUGACUUGUCAUAGUAUAAUCAAUGCUUUUUUUGAAAAGAGUUAUGAAAGUCUCAAUAAUAAUCAAAUAAUAAGGUGAUCUUCUUGCCUUUAAAUAAGACAUUAUCAAUAGCUAAAAAGACCUAUUAACUAUCUUCAAAGGAAAUAACAAUCAAAAUAUGUAGCAAAUAUAAUUUGUUGCAUCUUAGACUUCAUCAUGUGAUCACUACUUCUUAUCGAACUUAUUCCUAAAAAGAAAAAUAAUGUCAUAGACAUAUUUAUUAUUAAUAGUUAUUUAGGUAGUAUUAAUUGAUAAAAAAAUAAAAAUAUGUUAAUUUAUUAAUAUCUUUUAGAUAAGCUUCUUAGAAGCUUCAUAGAUAUAUUUUUACUUUUAUAAAUAGAUCACUUUUAUACAUAUCUAUAGAUGAUUAAUAGGUUAGAAACUUGGCAAAUAAAUUAACUACAUUUUACAUGUAUUAAUAACUUAUAGAAUAAGCUAACUACGUAGCAUAUAUAUAGAAAACUUAUCUUGUAAGUUAGAUAUGUAUCUUGCAAAUUAGACACAUGUUGGAGGUCUUAUAGAAUAUUGCUGCAUAGGUCUUAGGUAGAUAGCAUAUAUAGAAAAAAUGAAAUGGAAUUAGUCUAUCUCAAAAAUUUAAAAUCCUUUAAAUCCAUAAUAAUAUAAAUUCCAUCACAAUAUAAGAUAAAGGACUACAAUAAAUAAAAAAAUAAAAUAUAAUUCAAUAAAAAGAUGUAAAAUCAAACUUUAUUAGAAGAAAGGGUCUGAAGCCAUACUUGACUAGUUGCCCAAAUGGCCUUGGCUAAUCCUAUUUAUACUUUAUUCCAUUAUCUCAAAAUUUUCUAAAAUAUUCUUAAUAGUAGAUCUCACUUAGAUAACUACUUUAAGCUCUUUCAAGAAUGUUUUAUGGUAGGUCCUAUAUGGCCUUUUAAUCUUGUUCCAAUUCUAAAAACUUCUAUAAACUUCUCAAAUAUGGCUCCAACUAUAUAUUCCUAUGUGUAAAUAAUACAAAUAUCUUAUUUAUACCCUGUUAUAAUUAAUUUUCUUCCAUUAAUACAAAACAUCUUUAUUUUAUUUUUGAUGGUAUCUCUAAAAAAAUUCUUGGCAAUGAAUGUAGUUUUGUGUAGGUUUUCACAUUGCAUCAUAGAGAAAAUAAUUUUUCUAAAGGACUUUUUAUUGAAGUUGUAGAUGUCCACUAUGAUGAAAAAAUUAGCAAUGUUCGAAAAUAUUGUCUACUUCAUACUCUAAUUGAUUAUCAACUUUAAUUAUUAGUGGUGGUAAUUGAUGUCAAUUUGGAAAGCGCUUUUGCUCAAUAUGAAAUAUGGAAGAUUGAAUGGAUCCAAAUAUGUGGUAGAAGCUCAAGAUAGUAUGCAACAUCAAAAAUCAUUGUAGAAAUGAAGAAAGGUCUAAGCUAUAGAGGUGUCACUUUAUAAAUUUGAGUUGAUCUAACAAGUGGCAAGUUGGCAUUAGAGAGUAAUACAUAAUCACCUUCUUGAAAGGUCUUAUGUUGCGAGUGGUUAUCUACAUACUGCUUUUAUUGAUUGUGCAAUAAAAAUGAUGUGUCAUGCCUCUUGUAAGGUCAUUGUAAGCUAUUAUAUAAACUCUUCCAUUCUCAAGUUAUUAGUGUGAAUGGAAUGAUGGAGAAUUGCUAGUAUAACUAGAUAUUGAUCAAUGCUAAGAAAGAAUACUAAAUGAUCGUAAUUUGCUUGAAUACUCUUAUUGUACGAAAACUCCAAAGGCAUCAAAUAUUCAUCUCAAUCAUUAUCAUGAACUACUACAAAUGUUUGUAGUAUAUCUUCUAAGAUUAAAUUUACAUGUGCUGUUUGAUAUUUUUUUGGAUGUGGUAGGCUAUGGACAUGGCAAGUUGUAUGUCAAGUAGCUUAAACAAGGUCUUCCAAAAACUUUCCAUGAAGUAUAGAUCUUGAUCUAAAAUGAUGAUAUAAAGUAAUCCAUAGUGAUAAAAGAUAGUCUCAAAGAUGAUCCAUGUAAAUACUGAGGCAUCAAUAUCUAAGUACACUGCAUCCAAGUAAAAUUACUUUGAGAGUUGGUCCACAAAGAUAAUAACUCCAAUAUAAUUGUAAAGUAUCUAUGGAAAAUAUAUAAUGAGAUCUGUAAUUACGUGCUUCCAACGUAUUAUAGAUAGUGGAAUUUGCUGCAAUAGUUCGAGAAAUGUUGCAUUGUGUACUUUAUUAUGUUGGCAUGACUUGCAAAAGAAUACAAAAGUUUAAACAUCACGAUCCAAACUUAUCUAAAACUAUAUCCUUGAGAUCUGUUCUAAAGUCUUUUUACAUCUUAGAGGUCUAGAUAUUAGCAUGUCAGAGUAUACAUAUCCAGAGUAUAAUAUUGUCAGGUUCAUAAAUUUACUUCUUGAAAUAGAGUAAGCCAUCACUAAGACUAUAAUCUCAAUAUUCUACAUUGUCCCUCUCCAAUCAAUUGUUAACUAUCUUGAAAUAAGCAUCGAAAUACGUAGCUUCCUUUUAUUUUGCCUCUUUGAUUAGCUUCAAAAUGAUACUACUAAUCAUACCAAUUUUUGACUUAUCCCUUGAUUCUAUCCUCAAAUUUGGUCUCUAAAAUAAAUUAUCUAGUAUAGUAUAUUAUAGCCUUUGCUUAUAUUUAAGUUAAAAAUUGAAAAGUUGCAACUAUUCUUUUCAAUAAUGAUGUUAUUUCAAAUUUUUGAGAUUCAAAUUAUAUAAGAGGGGUCAAUACUCAGUCGAAAUAAUUACUAGUUUUUUUAACAUAUAAUAUUACCACACCUUUGUAGCAUAUACAAUUAUUAAUUGCUCUAAAUUACAUGCAAAGUAAUUGCACUCUGCUCUUUUGAGCUUACAUGAUUUAUAUACCAUAAGUUGAAGAUUCCUACCAAAAUCUUAUUGAAAGAAUGCUCUAAUAGCAAAAUAGAAAGUAUCAAUGUCAACUAUACAAUGAAGGUUGGAAUCAUAAGGUUGUAAUAUUGAAGCAAUAAUAAGUACCUUUUUCAACCUAUCAAAGGUACUUUAUUAUUCUAGUUUUCAUUCAAAUUUGGCACCUUAUUCUAAUAGGCUUAUCAAUAAUACAACAAUGUAUUUGUUCAUAUGACCUAUGAAAGAGGCUAAAGCAUUAGUGAGGCCAAAAGAUAAAACAAGCAAUUUGAAAUGUCCAUAGCACGUACAAAAUGUCAACUUUUUUAUAUCCUUUUUUAAGAUAGGUGUCUACCAAUAGCAACUCUGGAAGUCCAAAUUUCUUAAGAUGGUCGCACCUUGAAGUUGAUAAAAAAAUGUCAUCCAUGCAUAGAAGUGGAUAUGCAUUUCUAACAAUUUAUUUAUUGAAGACUCAAUAAUUGAUAUAAAGCCAAAAUCUACCAUCCUUCUUGGAUGCAAAGAAUAUAGAUACUUCCCAUAGCGAUGUGCUUUUUCAAAUGAGGCCCUUCUCUAAAAAUUCAUCCAAUGUCUUUCAAAUCUCUUCAAGUUCAUUUGGUAUAAGGUGAAAAAUUGACCGAUUUAUCGAUUUGGCUCCAAGCAAUAGUUCUAUUGAGAAGGAGGCACCUUGAUCAAGAAAUAUGCCACUAAGUAGGUUGUUUAGAAAGAUAUCUUAAUCUUGUAAAAGUUGUUCUACCUAUUCUAUUCUUUUGAUUAUCUUUCCCGCUAUUUACUUAAGAUUUGGAACCACCAUAUAUACAUGUUGCUUAUGUUGUAGUUGCUUCUUUAUAAAGAUCAUUUCUACAAAUAAGUCUUUAGCUAGAGAUUAUUUUUCUUCUUCACUCAAUGUGAAAGUACAAAGAGUCACCUUGCAUCUACCAUCUUUGAAGAAGAACAUCAUUGCUUGCCAAUCAAUUUAUUUAUUUUUUACUUCUAGCCAUGGCAUGCCAAAAAUAACAUCAAAUCUUAGCAUUAUUACUUUAAACUUUUCUCGUAAGAUAUAAGUGCCAAUCAACUUCAAUGUUUCUUCUUCACAUGAGUCAUCUAAUAUAUUCUCUUAGUCAUGUGCAAGGUAUAUAUUCUCUCUUUUGAUUAUCUUGUUUUUAAUUUCAAGUGGACCAAUAAAAUUAGUCGAGAUAUUUUUUUUUUAUAGAGCCAUAAUCCACAAGUACUUAACAUAGCUAUCUUCUUAGUUAUUUCAUUAGAUACUCUAUUCAAUCUUUUUUAUAAUUAUUUCAAGCUAUGGCAUUUGUCUUUGAGAGACAAUAGCUAUUCCUAGUAUUGAUUCUCUGUGCUUUUACUAAGAAGCCUCAUUUCCCUACUCUAUUUUGUUAUCGACUUAGUGAAUCUCAAGAUUGUAAACCUACCUUGAUUUUUUAGUACUUAAAUUUUGACAUUUUGGACAACCUCCAAUCUGAUGGCUUAACUCCCAAUAAUAAAAACACAAUCUCUUUUGCACCAAUAUUUGUUAUCUUUGUAAUAUCAAUGAUUCUUGUAAAGCAUCAAUCUCCAUUGGUAUUGGUUGUUGUGUUAUAGUAUAAGAUAGUGGCAUAAGACUCUGUGAUAUAGGUCGUGUUCCACAAUUUUUGAAAUCUAUAGCAUCAACUCUCUUUGCAAUCCUAAUUUUUUCUUCAAAUAUUUGUGGAUCAAAUAUUCUACCACUUGUUGGAUCUCAAGUUUUGACCCUUGUACAAACUAAUCUAUUAUCUUUGUUUAUAAAAUAUUGUCAAUUUUAAAACAUAAGAACUUAAAUCAAAAGUUAUAAUCUUAUACCAACGUCGAUUAUAUAAGAUUAUCUAAAUGACCACAUGCUAUCUUUUUCACAUUGAUAAGCUGAAAUUGAUUCUUAAAUUUGGUUUCAAACUCUCUUCAAUUACAAAAUCCACCUUGAACUCUAUUGCUUUGAAUUUGAUGUUGCCACCAAGUGGUUGUCCCAUCUCUCAAAUAGCUUACUAUAUACAUAUUUUUUUUUAAUGUUAUUUGCGUCGAAUAGUUAGAGGUGUUGUUGCAUGGUGAAGAGCCAUUGGCAUACAUCUUCUUGCCUUGAAAUCUCAAAGUAUAUAUCAGACUUAUUCAAUUUCAGUCUAACAAAUGUCAACUUCUUUAUUUUAGAUGCUUCUAUUUAACUUUGCAGAGUAGCUAUCUUACCUAAGAGAUGUUGUAUAUGAGCUUCCAUCUAGAAUUGCUUCGCCAUAUCUUCCAUGUUGUAAUUUUUUCACUAGAUUCUACUCUUAUAAUGUCUUCUCUCGUUCCAACUAGCUUCUUAAGAGAAUCUUGUAGUAGCUUCAAUAAACUAUCCAAUGUAACUACAAUAAUUGACCUCAAACUAAACAAUGGCUAUUAACAAACUACCAAAAAAUAGUCUAAUACUUGUUUAAAUACCAAUAAAAUAAGAUUGAACUAUCUCAAAAAUCUGAAAACUUUCUAAUCUAUAACAAUAUAAAUUCUAUUACAAUAUAGAAUAGAGUAGACUACAACAAAAGAAAAUAGAAUAAAUUUGAAUAGAAAGAUGCAAAACCAAACUUUACUACAAAAAAAGAUUUGAAGCUAUACUAGGCUAGAUGCCCAAAUGGCCCUAGUCAAUCCUAUUUAUACUUUGUUCAAUCAUCCCAAAACUUUCUAAAAUAUUCUUAAUAGUAGACUUCACUUAGAUAACCAUCCUAAGUUCUUUCAAGAAUGUUCCUUGAUUGAUCCUACCUAGCCCACUAAUCUAGUUCCAAUUUUAGAAACUUCUAUAAACUUAUCAAACAUAACUCCAACUAUCUAUUCCUAUGUGAUAAUAAUAUAAAUAUCUUAUUUAUACCUUAUCACAGGCAAAAAUGAAGCGUUCUUUAUUCUUGUCAACUUUGUACUUGCUUCCAAUUUAAUUUCAUGAUAUUCUAGCUUCCUAAUAUUUAAUAAUAACCAUUCUAAUUUUUUAUUAAAAAUAUUAUUUUCUUAUUUUUAUUUUAUUAUCUUUCUUUGAUUCAUUUUUCACUCAAUUACAUACAUUCUUUGAGUUCUUAUCUUUGACAAAAUAUUUGAUUUAAUUCUUAGUCUUAUUAUGCAAAAUACAAGAUUGAACAAUGAUGAGACUCUAGCCUUAAUGAAAUAAGACCAAUCUAUCUCAAAAAUCCAAGAUCCUUCAAAUCUAUAGUAACAAUAAGCUUCAUCACAAAGUAGGACAAAAUAGACCAGAAUAAAAUUAAAUAGAACUAAAUAGAACUAAUUAGAAUACGAUAUAAAAGAUAAAAUUGAGAAAAUAGAAAUAGAAUAAAAUAAAACUAAAUAAAAAGAUAUAAAACCAAAUUUUAUUAAGAGAAAGGAACUAAAGCCAUACUUUACCAAAUGUCCCAAAAGAUCUUGACUAAUUCUAUUUAUACUUUAUUCUACCACCCUAUAUAUUCUAGAAUAUUCUUACAUGAUGGAUCCUACUUACAUAACCACCUUAAAUUCCUUCUAGUGGAUUCCAUGAUGGAUCCCACUUGAUCCACUAAUCUAACUCUAAUUCUAAAAACUUCCAUGGUUCUAACUAUCAAUCUCUAUAUAUCAAUAAUAUAAUUAUCUUCUUUAAAUCUUGUUACAAUUAAUCUUCUUCUACUAAUGCUAAACGUCCUUGUUUUGCCUCUAAUGGUAUCUCCAAAUUAUCUUUUAAUAAUAGAUUUUGUAUAAGUUCCUACAUUAUAUCAUAGAUGGAAUAAACUUUUCAAAGAAAUUUAUAGUAAAGUUGUCGACGUCUACUACCACAGCAAAGAUAGCAAUGCUCCAAAAUAUUGUCUACUUCAUAUUCUUGUUGGUCAUCAACUUCAAUUCGUGGUAGUGGUAAUUGAUGUCGAUCUGAAAAGCACUUUGUUUCGAUAUGAAAUUCCUUCAGUUAUAAAAUAUAGAAGUCUAGAUGGACCUAAAUAUAUAAUGGAAGCUCCAAGCAGUAUGCAAUAUCAAAAAUCAAUGCAAAAAUAUGGAAAGGUCCAAGCAAUUAAGAUGUUAGUUUAUGGAUUUGAAUUGAUGUAGCAAGUGACAAGUUGGCAUUGAAGAAUAACACUUGAUCAAUCUCCAGAAGGUCUUUUGUUGCAUGUGGUUAUUUAUAUACUACUUCUAUCAAUUUUAUGGAAUAAGGAGGCAAUGCCAUCCUUCUUGUAAGGCUAUUAUAAGUUGUUGUAUAAAUUCUUCUAUUAUCAAGUUGUUGAUAUCAUCGAGGCGAUGGAGAUUUACUUGUGUAAUUGGAUGUUGAACGGUAUUAAGGAAAAAUGGUAAAUGACUGAUACUUCCUAAAAUAUUAUCAUUAUAAGCAAACUCCAAGGACAUCAAGUAUUCAUUCCAAUCAUUAUGAUGAACUACCACAAAUACUUACAAUAUAUUUUCUAAGGUCCGAAUUGCAUGCUCUAUUUGUCUAUUUAUCUUGAGAUGGAAGAUUGUAAAAAUAACAAGUCUUAUACCUAAUAGCUUGAACAACGCUUACCAAAAACUUCUCAUAAAAUAUAGAUCCUGAUCUAAAAUGAUGAUAUGAGAUAAUUUAUGGUGACAAAAAUUGAUAUCAAAGAAGACUUGUAUAAAUACUGAAGCAUCAAUAUUUGAGUACAUCGUGGUCAAAUGAUGUUGCUUUAAAAGUCAAUCCAUAAAGACAGUAAUCUUGGUAUAAUUAUGACACAUUUGUAGCAAAUACAUAAUGAGGUCCAUAGUCACCUGCUUCCAACGUAUUGUAAAUAAUGGAAUUAGCUGCAAUACUCUAAGAGGCAUUGCAUUGUAUAUUAUAUUAUAUUGAUAUGAUUUAUAAGAGCAUACAAGAGCUUCAAUAUCACGAUCCAAACUUACCCAAAACCAUAUUCUUGAAAUUCCUUCAAGAGUCUUUUCUUGCUCCAAAUAUCUAGAUAUUAGAAUAUUAUAUCCCUCUUAAAGUAUGUAUGUCUAAAAUAUAGCAUCAUUGAGUACGUAAAUCUGCUACUUGAAAUAGAACAAGCCAUUACUAAGAUUUUAAUCUUGAUAGUAUAUAUUAUUUACCUUUAACCAAUUGCUAAUCAUCUUAAAAUAAGUAUCUUGAUAUGUUACUUUCUUUCAUUCUGCCUCUUUGGUUAGAUUUGAAAUGACACUACUAAUGGUGGCGACUUCUAUUUUUUUCCCAAUUUGUCUUUCAAAUCUGAUCUUUAUAAUAGGUUGUCUUAUAUAGUAUGUUUUUAACCUUAUUUAUACUCAAGCUAGUUAUCAAAAAGCUACAAUUGUUCUUUUCAAUAAUAAUGUUAAAAUUUCACAUUUUUUAGAUGUAAAUUGUAUAGUAAGGAUCAAUGGUCAAUCCAAACAACCAUUGGUUUUUCCAACUAAGGGUAUCACUAUAUCUUUAUGGUAUGUAUAAUUGUUAAUUACUCUCGAUUUUGUAUAAAAUAAUUGCACAUUGUCCUUCUAAGCUUAUAUGAUUUAAAUACCACAUAUUAAAGGCUUCUACUAUAGUUUUAUUAAAAGACGGUUGCUAUAGCAAAAUCAAAAGCAUCAAUGUCAAGCAUAUAAAGAAGGUUGGAAUCAUUUGAUUGCAAUAUUUGAGCAAUAAUGAGAGCAUCUUUCAACCUAUCAAAGACACUUUGUUGCUCUAGUUUCUAUUCAAAUAGGGCAUCUUUCUCAAAAAGAUUUGUUAAUGAGACGCCAAUGUUUACAAAUUACCAAACAAAAUGGCAAUAAUAUCCAACAAGGCCUAAAAAUGAGCAAACUUCAAAAGCAUCUUUAGGGGUUGGCUAAUCCUCUACUUUCAUCUUAUCUUGUUUUAUAUGUACACCUUCAAAAAAACACCACAUAACCAAAAAAGUGACUUUUAACUUCCGAAGUUCAUAUAUUUGAUUGCUUGCAAUAGAAGUGACUAUCUUGUAACUGGUGUAGCACUUCUCGUAGGUGUUGCUCAUACUCUUUAGGAGUUUUACUAUAUAUGAGGAUAUCAUUAAUGAAGCCAAAUAUAUACUUAUCCAAAAGGUCCUAAAGUAAUCUGUUCAUGUUAUUCAUAAAAGAAGUUAGAGCAUUAGUAAGACCAAAUAAUAAAAUCAACCAUUUAAAAUAUCCAAAGCGCAUAUAAAAUAUUAUCUUUUUUACAUCUUCACUUAUAAUAAGUAUCUACCAAUAGCUACUCCAAAGAUCCAAUUUAUUAAAAAUGAUUGUAAUUUGAAGUUGGUUAAAAAGAUCAUCCACGCAUAAAAGUAGAUAUGCAUUUUUAAUAGUCUCCUUAUUAAGGCCUCGAUAGUCAAUGCAAAGGUAAAGUCCACCAUCUUUCUUCACUGCAAAGAGUACAAGUCCUUCCUAUGGUCAUGUGAUUUUCCAAAUGAAGCCUUUCUUGAAGAGUUUAUCCAAUAUCUUCCACAACUCUUCAAGUUAUUUUAGUGCUAUAUGCUAAAUUCGUUGACUUAUUAGUUUGAUUCCAAACAAUAGUUCUAUUUGAAAGGAAGCACUUCAAUUAAGAGGCACACCACAAGAUAAGUCGGUUAGAAAGACAUUCCAAUGUUUUUGUAUGAGUUACUCUAUCCAUUGUCGUAAUAUGUGAAGUCUUACUUGAAAAUGCUCCAAGCACCUGGCUACAGAAGAUAGAAUGGAAAUUGCAAUAAAAAAUCCUAACUCUAGUACAAUACUAAAAAUGCUAAGUAAGCUUUCAUCAAAUUCAAAGAAAUCUUAAAGGAAUUACAAACGAAUAAUAAAAAAUCUUAAAAAAAUAUUAGAAUGAUUACAAAUAUAUUUCAAAUAAAUUUCAAUCCAAUCUUAAUUUAAUCCUAUUUAAAAUCCUAUUAGACUUCAUUCAAACUUUAGGCCAAAAACUAUCUAAAUUUUAAACCCUAAAUAAAUCCUAAAUAAAUCUUAAACACACCCUAAUCAAACGUUAAUAAAAUCCUAAAUCUUAAAUCAAAUCCUAACCAAAUCCUAAAUCUUAAACCUAAAUCUAAUCAAAUCCUAAAUCCUAAAUCAAAUCCUAACCAAAUCCUAAACCUUAAAUUAAAUCCUAACUAAAUCCUAAAUCUUAAACCAAACCCUAAUCAAAUUCUAAAUCCUAAAUCCUAAAUCAAAUCUUAACUAAAUCCUAAUCUAAUCCUAAAUCCUAAAUCAAACCCUAA